AGUCGCAAACGACGAAACUACGCACUCGCAGCUUAAUAACCUGCGCUGAGCCCUUCUCCCCUAGCUUGCCUGUGUCCUAGGGAAAUGGAAGGUCAUCCUUCACAGGAUCGUGUGGAAGUCCUGCUCGGGGCGGAAGCAUUAAAACCAAUCGAGCUAGUCAAUGCGUGGCGUGUCUCUCCGCAGCGUGUUGGCGAAUGUAAAGAGUGACUAAGCAUGUAGUACCGAGGAUGUAGUAAUUUUGGACGGGGGUUCAAAUCCCCCCAGCUCCACCA
rnacentral:tmRNA from 1 species